GACGAACGCUGGCGGCGUGCUUAACACAUGCAAGUCGAACGGAAAGGCCCUGCUUUUGUGGGGUGCUCGAGUGGCGAACGGGGGAGUAACACGUGAGUAACCUGCCCUUGACUUUGGGAUAACUCCAGGAAACUGGGGCUAUUACCGGAUAGGAGCUCUUGCUGCAUGGUGGGGGUUGGAAAGUUUCGGCGGUUGGGGAUGGACUCGCGGCUUAUCAGCUUGUUGGUGGGGUAGUGGCUUACCAAGGUUUUGACGGGUAGCCGGCCUGAGAGGGUGACCGGCCACAUUGGGACUGAGAUACGGCCCAGACUCCUACGGGAGGCAGCAGUGGGGAAUAUUGCACAAUGGGCGGAAGCCUGAUGCAGCAACGCCGCGUGCGGGAUGACGGCCUUCGGGUUGUAAACCGCUUUCGCCUGUGACGAAGCGUGAGUGACGGUAAUGGGUAAAGAAGCACCGGCUAACUACGUG
rnacentral:rRNA from 1 species